rnacentral:tRNA from 1 species
GCGCCGCUAGCUCAACUGGCAGAGCAGCGGACUCUUAAUCCGCGGGUUCGGGGUUCGAGUCCCUGGCCCUGGU